UCCGUGUUAACCACGGCAGUCACCUUAGAGUGCCCAACUGAAUGCUGGCAACUAAGAUCAAGGGUUGCGCUCGUUGCGGGACUUAACCCAACAUCUCACGACACGAGCUGACGACAACCAUGCACCACCUGUCACCCAUGUCCCCGAAGGGAAAUCUCUAUCUCUAGAGAGGUCAUGGGGAUGUCAAGACCUGGUAAGGUUCUUCGCGUUGCUUCGAAUUAAACCACAUGCUCCACUGCUUGUGCGGGCCCCCGUCAAUUCCUUUGAGUUUCAGCCUUGCGGCCGUACUCCCCAGGCGGGGCACUUAUCGCGUUAGCUGCGGCACCGAAGGGGUCGUUCCCCCCGGCACCUAGUGCCCAUCGUUUACGGCGUGGACUAC
rnacentral:misc_RNA from 1 species